rnacentral:sRNA from 1 species
AUGAUUCACAACUCUAGCCACAGCAAAGGCCUGGCCUAUGUGGGUAAGAUCCUGAGGAGGCAGGAGAGGGACAGGGAAGGAGUAUGGGUAGGGGCAGGGGGAGCCCUGGCCCUCCUCCCCUUUCCUCCUGGAGCCUCCAGGGGUCUCAGGCAGCAUCAUCCCAGUCUACUGUACCCUCCUGGCCACUGUGGUCUUCGGUCUGCUUGCCUACGUGGCCUUCAAGUGCUGGCGCUCACAUAAACAAAGACAGCAGCUGGCCAAAGCUCUAACUGCAGGGCUGGGAGGUCUCAAUGACCAGAUCAAUGGGGAUAGCAGUGUCUUCCUGGACUCUCCUAGCAGUCUGGAGCCCCGUGCCUCCAGCCAGGGUGAGCCCCUUUCCCAGAACUGCCUCACCACCCAGCCCUUGUGUGAUCCUCAUGUCUCCUGCCCCAGGACCACAUCCUGAGCUUGGGUGCCGACUUUACCUUGAUCUCCCUCUGCAGGACCAGGAGAAAGUGGAGCGGCUGUUAGAGGUGUCACGUGAACCUGACAAGGGCGGGUGGGGACUGGCAGACCAUCUGGGCUACCGGGCUGAGGCUGUAGAAAUCAUGGCCCAAGGCCAGGUGUGAGCCUACACACUGCUGAGGGACUGGGCUAUCCAAGAAGACAGUGGUGCCACCCACAAGGUGCUAGAGAAUGCCCUGGUUGCCAUGGGCCAGGAAGAUGUGGUCCAGGUCCUGGGCUCCUAAGCUGAGGGCUGCUCUGUG